UGAAACGAAAUUUGAUCUGCUGUAUCAUCACAGGAAAUAUUUGGUGGUCAUUCUACACCCUGUAUAAAUGUACAUAAAUGUAUGAUUGUGCUGUAAUUAUAGUUAUUACUAUUUGAAAGUAACUUCUUGAAGUGUGUUAAAAGCAUAGCUACCGUUAAUAUAAUUUUAUAUCUCUAAAGGAUAUAGAUCAAGAUUACGCUUAAAAAUUGUUCGGUAGUAAGCGGAUUAAAGAUUUAUGUUAACGAUAGAAUGUCCCGUAUAAUACAUGUUAGCGGUUUGUUGUACAUAUGUAUAUACAUAUGUGUAGUUGCUCUUCAGGAGCAUUAUUCUGUAAUUGUCUUUAUACGCCUAUCGACAAUUGUAGGUGUCGUUGCGCAGAUAUUUUAUAUGGUGAAAAAGCUGUGCAACAACACCGACAACUAUCGGUAGGCGUGUAAAACAGUUACAGAAUAAGCGUCCCUGGUAACAGCGAUCGGUAGUUGUAAGAAAAAAGAGAAACUCAUUUACAAAAAAAUGUAAAUCUCGUGGCUGUGACAAUUGUUAAUACCGGCAUAGCAUUUGAAGAUGUGUUAUUCAUAAAACAGCGAACAAGUGAUAACGCAUCUUCGAACAUGGAAAUCGUUACUUUUAUUUUGUUCUGUAUUAUGAUAAGCAGCUUGAAAUAAAGUUUGAAUUCUCGAAGUCGCUGCCUGUCAUUUUAUUUAUAUUCGAACUAAUGUUGUUACAUGCGUACGUCACCAUAUUUAAUACCUACAAAAUCUGGAAAUUUUCUAACAAGGAAAGAGACCCAACUAUUAUCUUCCGACUUUGAUGUAAAUUAUGGUUAAGAAACUGUGGACGUACAAUUCCAGUUCCAAUGGAAAACUUAUAUAAAAAUUAUCGAAUUUGUGGAAAUCAUUUUGAUUCUUCAAUGUUUCUAAAUGAUUUGAAGAAUCGCCUCCAAUCACAUGCAGUUCCAAAAUCAAUGGAUCUACAAAAAGAAACUGAUUCAAUACAUGUCACAGCCUUAAUUUUAGACAAUCACGUAUCUUCUUUAUGUAAUGAUCAGGAUGCAAAAAUUAUAAAUGAAGACAAUCAAAAGAAUAAAGAAGUACAAACUGAACAACUAUCAGUUACAUAUGAUAAGAAAAUACAAACUGAUUGCAAAUUGUCUAAAAAUUCACCAAGAAAAAUAAUAUUGAAAAAGAAAAUUAACUUAUUACAUAAAAAAAUUACAGAAAAUUAAGAAGCAAUUAAUUCAUCAGAAAGGAAGUUAUAUACGUACAAAGAGAAAGAAAGAGCUUUCUGUUUCAGAAUAUUGUGAUAUUAAUAAAUAUAAAACAAUG